rnacentral:rRNA from 1 species
CCUACGGGAGGCAGCAGUAAGGAAUAUUGGUCAAUGGAGGGAACUCUGAACCAGCCAUGCCGCGUGCAGGAUGACUGCCCUAUGGGUUGUAAACUGCUUUUGUCCAGGAAUAACUACCACUACGUGUAGUGGCUUGAAUGUACUGGAAGAAUGAGGAUCGGCUAACUCCGUGCCAGCAGCCGCGGUAAUACGGAGGAUCCGAGCGUUAUCCGGAUUUAUUGGGUUUAAAGGGUGCGUAGGCGGCUUAUUAAGUCAGGGGUGAAAGACGGCAGCUCAACUGUCGCAGUGCCUUUGAUACUGAUGAGCUUGAAUGUGGUUGAAGAUGGCGGAAUGAGACAAGUAGUGGUGAAAUGCAUAGAUAUGUCACAGAACUCCGAUUGCGAAGGCAGCUGUCUAAGUCAUUAUUGACGCUGAUGCACGAGAGCGUGGGGAUCGAACAGGAUUAGAUACCCUGGUAG